rnacentral:rRNA from 1 species
AGAGUUUGAUCCUGGCUCAGGACGAACGUUGGCGGCGUGCUUAACACAUGCAAGUCGAGCGGUUGAGAGGUGGGAGGUGAGAGGUUAGACGUGGGAGAAAGAGGACGGGUGAGUAACGCGUGGGUAACCUACCCAUAAACCCGGGGCAACCCUUGGAAACGAGGGCUAAUACCGGAUAAUCUUUAGAUUUGGCAUCAAGGUUUAAGAAAAGAUGGCCUCUGUAUAUGCUAUCACUUACAGAUGGACCCGUGUCUGAUCAGCCAGUUGGUGGGGUAACGGCCCACCAAAGCGAAGACGGGUAGCCGGCCUGAGAGGGUGAACGGCCACACUGGGACUGAGACACGGCCCAGACUCCUACGGGAGGCAGCAGUGGGGAAUCUUCCGCAAUGGACGAAAGUCUGACGGAGCAACGCCGCGUGUAUGAUGAAGGUCUUCGGAUUGUAAAGUCCUUUUUUUGGGGAAGAACGGUAGAUUUGAGAAUAUUGAGUGAGGUUGACGGUACAAUAAGAGGAAGCCACGGCUAACUACGUGCCAGCAGCCGCGGUAAUACGUAGGUGGCAAACGUUGUCCGGAAUUACUGGGCGUAAAGGGCGAGUAGGUGGUUUGCUAAGUCAAAAGUGAAAACUCCGGGCUCAACUCGGAGACUGCUCCUGAAACUGGUAGACUUGAGUGCAAGAGAGGGAAGUGGAAUUCCUAGUGUAGCGGUGAAAUGCGUAGAUAUUAGGAGGAACACCAGUGGCGAAGGCGACUUCCUGGCUUGUAACUGACACUGAGGCGCGAAAGCGUGGGGAUCAAACAGGAUUAGAUACCCUGGUAGUCCACGCCGUAAACGAUGAGUGCUAAGUGUGGGCGAAAGUCAGCCCUCGGUGCCACAGCUAACGCAAUAAGUAUUCCGCCUGGGGAGUAUGCACGCAAGUGUGAAACUCAAAGGAAUUGACGGGGGCCCGCACAAGCGGUGGAGUAUGUGGUUUAAUUCGACGCAACGCGAAGAACCUUACCAAGGCUUGACAUCCCGUGACAGCCUAAGAAUAUAGACUUAUGGAUUUAACAUCUAUACACAGAGACAGGUGGUGCAUGGUUGUCGUCAGCUCGUGUCGUGAGAUGUUGGGUUAAGUCCCGCAACGAGCGCAACCCCUACAGCUAGUUGCCAGCACGUAAUGUGGUAUGUCUGGACAGACCGCCGUUGAUAAAACGGAGGAAGGUGGGGAUGACGUCAAAUCAUCAUGCCCCUUAUGUCUUGGGCUACACACGUACUACAAUGGCCUGAACAGAGGGAAGCAAAACUGCGAAGUUAAGCGAACCCCUUAAAACAGGUCCCAGUUCGGAUUGUAGGCUGCAACUCGCCUACAUGAAGUUGGAAUCGCUAGUAAUCGCAGGUCAGCAUACUGCGGUGAAUACGUUCCCGGGCCUUGUACACACCGCCCGUCACACCACGAAAGUCGGCAACACCCGAAGCCGGUGACUCAACCUGAAAGGGAGAGAGCUGUCGAAGGUGGGGUUGGUAAUUGGGGUGAAGUCGUAACAAGGUAACCU